CUUGGGGAUGAGGCUGACCCAGGACUGUUCUUCCAUGAACUAGAACAAGUUCCUUAAGCUCAUCCAGCAUGCUCAUCUUUAAAAGACAAGUAAAAUGAAACAUGCACUAAAAAUUCUCUGGAAGGACACAUUAGAAACUAACGUCAGUGAUUCCAUUUUAGAAGACUGCACAGAUGGAGACAGAGAAGGGAAAGACACUUUUCACUUUACAGUUUGAUAUAUUUUCAUUUUUGAACCAGGUGGACAGGUCAUUUAUUGGCAAGUGACUCUUGUCAUCACGUCAUGAUUGAGGCAGUAGGCUAUUUGUACAGAUCACUUGAUUUAAGGGUGAUCCACCUGGGAUCUUCUCAUUCAUCAAUCCAUGGAAUCCUGCACCUUCUGAGAGAAAUUGAGUGGAUCCGGAGCCGGAGAUGUUGGCCUCAAGGUAUGAGCCAGCAACAUUCUGAGGGUUCUAGGAAUGGCUUCUCAUUAUGGAAGCACUUGGUUAAAUUAAACUACCACAGUGCUCAGAGUUCUAAUACAGUGAGCUCUGCAAUGUGCAUGAAUGCAGAUAAAUUACACAGGGCUAGAAGAAUGGACUUGGCACCUCAGACAAUUUCAGAUAAAUCAAAAUGUGCUCCUGGAAAAGGGAAAAAGAAACCCAUUAUUUGCAUAUCUGCCGAGGAAAAGAUACAACGGAAGACACAAAAUAAUGCUGAAAUAUGGAAUGGCUCAGGAAAGGAAGCCUCAAAGAAAAAGACAGACUAUUCCUCUAACAUUUUAUCUUUGGGUAAAAUGAAUGGUUUAAUAAAGCUUUCAAGGCAAAGAAUUUUGUUAGCUAAAAGCGAGAGUGGAGAAGGCGAAAUCACCACCAUUUACCACCAUCCCCUGCCAUGGCCUGUUAGCACAAAAAACCCUGGGGAAUCUGAGUUCAUAUCAGAAAAGUGGCUUUUUCAUAGCCCAGAUUAUAUUUCAAUAUCUCAGAAGUCUUUUUUGCAGAGAAGACUUCACAUUGAAACAAAACUGUUGAAG
rnacentral:lncRNA from 1 species